GCAUACAUGUUAGUGCAUGUAGGUGUGCAUGUUAGGGCACAGUCCCUCCUUGUUAAAUGUUGGUCCUUCAUAUAAAUUCACAGGAACCGCCCACAUACGAUGGCAUCGUGCAGUACCGAGAAUUCAGGUGAAAGCCAGAAUUUCCUCAUCUGAAGAAAGGGGUUUGUUUAAAAAAGGCCUUCAACAGAGAAAGAGAUAAGACCAAAGUGGCACUGGCCGUGGGGAAUUCCGGUUCCAUUUCCGGUCGACCAGUGAACUGUCAAAACAAACUUUUACUUUUUAAAGUGUUUAUCUGCUCUGUCAGUGUCUUCACUGGCUCCUUCUGUGUAAUACGCGUGACCGGUCCCGGCGGAUAACUCCAAGCCUGGAUUCCUUUCGCAGUCAAACCAUGGAGCCAAGACUGGUCUGGCUUUACCGAGACAGCUAAACUGACUGCUAAAGGGCUCCAGCUUCUCCACGUUGCCACCCUGCAUGCCCUCUGCCUGCCAUCACGCUGCCCAGUGGCACUGAACUAAUGAUGUCAUCAUUUUGAGCCAUCUCUCAGCUGGACCUCUUGACCUCUGAGCCUUUGCUGGACACACAUUAGUGAUGAUGUGUGGUGUGCAGCUGUGGACAUGAAACAACAGUCUCAAGCCAAGAUGACUGAAAAAGCCUAAGUGCUGCAAAAAACACCGUCAUAGAAAUCUUCAUGACGGAUGUUUGAACUGUUUGAAAAGACAGCAGUUGUUGUGCUCAUUUGUGUGACAAAACCUGAAACACUGAGGGACUCGCCUGCCCUGAGCUCAAGGAAAAUGGCCUCACAUUUGCAGCUGAAGAGAGAAAUCAAAACAUAGCUGAUGAUUUAUGGCUGGGCUAAAACCUAAAUAACACCCUGGCUAGCAGCUGGAUCGAGCAGAUAUGACAAGGAAGAGCUGACCUCUUGCUGAUGUAAUGGCUUUGAUUUGUCUUUUGGCCUGUCAUAACACAAAAGCAUGAUGGGUUUCCUGUGACGUGGGUGGUGACUGGUCCACACUGACAACUUGUCGGCUGUCUUCAGAUGCUCAGAACUCCCUCCAUAAUAAUGAAAUAUGCCGGGACCUUUCUUGUUUUAAUCUGGGAGAACCAUUAUUUUGCUUCUGCUGCUGAAGUCUGGGGGGCAGCUGUCAGAGAGAAGAGAGAAAGGCCUGUCAAUCAACCCAUCCCUCUGGCCGCUGACAAGGUCAUUAGGCGUCAUGUGACUUCCGUGUCCCCGCAUCAGCAGAUUACAAUUCAUUUGGCAUGUGUCCUCUUAAAAAAAGCUACAUGUGAUACCUUAGGUGUCAUGAUUCUCUCUAAAAAAAUGUCCAUACUGUGGUGUAUGUGUAGUGUGCAAAUAAGAACAUUCACAGACUUUCA